AAAAAGAGAAAGAGAGGGAGGAAGAGAGAGAAAAAGAUAGAGUGGAAGAGAGAAAAAGAAAAAGAGGGGAAGAGAGAGAGACAGACACAGGGGAAGAGAGGAAAAAGAAAAGAGGGGAAGAGAGAGAGGAAUAGAGAGAUGAAGAAAGAGAGUAAGAGAGGAGGAAGAGAGGGAGAGAGAGAGAAAAUGAAAAGAGAGAGAUGAAGAGAGGGAAUAAGAGGGGGGAAGAGAGAGAGGAAUAGAGAGAAAAUGAAAAGAGAGAUGAAGAGAGAAGAAGGGAGAGAGAGAGAGGAAGAGAGAAAAAGAAAUAGAGGGAGAGAGAGAAAGAGAAAUAUAGGGAGUGGGAGAGAAAGUGGAAGAAAGAAAAAAUGGAGUGGAAAUGAGAGAGAGAAAAAUAGAAGUGGGAGAGAGAAUGGAAGACAGAAAAAAAUGAGUGCAAGAGAGAGAGUGGGGGAGAAAGAGAAGAAGAGAGAGAAGGAAGAGAAGGAGAAAGGAAAAGAGAGGGAAGAAGAGAGAGAGGGAGAGAGAGAGAAAAAAUGAGUAAGAGAGAGGGAAAGAGAAAUAUAGAGUGGGAGAGAGAG